rnacentral:rRNA from 1 species
UAAAGACUAGUAUGAAAGGCAUCACGAGGACUAAACUGUCUCCUCUCCCUAAUCAGUGAACCUAAUAACCCCGUGAAGAAGCGGGGGUAUUUAUAUAAGACGAGAAGACCCUAUGGAGCUUAAAACAUCAUAACACCUGCCACCCCACCUAUUAACCCCGGUUUUCAUCCCCGUGGCUCCCUGAUUAUAUGUUUUUGGUUGGGGCGACCGCGGAGAAAAACCUAUCCUCCACAAUGAAGGGGACCUCCCUAAACAGUAAGCUACAACUUUAUGUAUCAGCAAACUGACAUCCAUUGACCCAAUAUAUUUGAUUAACGAACCAAGUUACCCUAGGGAUAACAGCGCAAUCCACUUUGAGAGCCCCUAUCGACAAGUGGGCUUACGACCUCGAUGGUUGGAUCGGGGUAUCCUAGUGGUGCAGCCGCACAAAGGUUCGUUGUUCACGAUAAA